AGGAAUCUGAAAACGCAUCACACGGUAUAGCUGACUUAUAUAAAUCCUGAAACCAAAUUUCAGAAAUCCUUGUAUUGUAGUUCCUGAGAAAAAUGUGACGAAAAUUUUCAACUUGGCUAUCAUGUGUAAAAUCAGACAAGUGUUCGGUAAACAGGAAGUUGUCAAGUGAUGAAUCUGAAAACGCAUCACACGGUAUGGCUGACAUAUAUAAAUGUUGAUACCAAAUUACAGAAAGGGUGGAUGUGUAGUUCCUGAGAAAAAUGUGACGAAAGUUUCAUGGGACGGACUGACUGACGGACGGACUGACGGACUGACGGACUGAUGGACGGACUGACGGACGGACAGACAGAGGUAAAACAGUAUACCCCCCCCUUUUUUAAAGCGGGGGUAUAAAAAGACAACAGAUUAAUAUCAUACAUAAUGAAAUGAACAUGGUCCAACACAGAUCAUUCAUUUGCCAUUUAAAAUUUUAAACUAGAUUCUAUAGAGACAAUUAUAAACUAUACAUAGCUGCAAAAUAUUUGAACUUUAUAAGAGACUCUGUUUUGUUUGUUCUGACAUACAUUUACACUGUUAAUAAAAAAAAAUAUUUGCAAAAACAGUUAAAUCAAAAUUCCAUAAUUCAGUUGAGAUAUUCUAAGAAAAAUAUAAAAAAAGAAGAAAACAAAUCUUGGUCAAUGGGCUGUAAGUUCUAUUUAGCU
rnacentral:lncRNA from 1 species